ensembl:lncRNA
AGAGUGAGACCCACAGAGCAUCAGUCCUCUUAAUCCUGUGCGUGAAAGUCCACAAACCGACUUCAUCUUUUUUGCUGCUUGAGAGACAUUUCUGACACCAGAGUGACAACAGCCAGAGAGAGGAGGCUGAUCAGACCGGAAGUAGCGCUUUAAUUCAUCAGUAACAGGUCUCGGUGAAGUUGGUGGACAUUUUAGGCAACAGGAUCACGUUGUCAGACAUCUAAAGCAUCAUGUGGCAGAUUAUCAGUCAUAACAAGCUGUCUGAAACCGUUUCUUAAGAGGAUAAAUAAUGGAUUUGUGGACAUUGAAGUGCCUGGCUUUGGCCCCAUCUGACAAACCAGCAUCAUGUCUUUUU